rnacentral:rRNA from 1 species
AAGUCGUAACAAGGUCUCCGUAGGUGAACCUGCGGAGGGAUCAUUACAAGAACGCCCGGGCUUCGGCCUGGUUAUUCAUAACCCUUUGUUGUCCGACUCUGUUGCCUCCGGGGCGACCCUGCCUUCGGGCGGGGGCUCCGGGUGGACACUUCAAACUCUUGCGUAACUUUGCAGUCUGAGUAAACUUAAUUAAUAAAUUAAAACUUUUAACAACGGAUCUCUUGGUUCUGGCAUCGAUGAAGAACGCAGCGAAAUGCGAUAAGUAAUGUGAAUUGCAGAAUUCAGUGAAUCAUCGAAUCUUUGAACGCACAUUGCGCCCCCUGGUAUUCCGGGGGGCAUGCCUGUUCGAGCGUCAUUUCACCACUCAAGCCUCGCUUGGUAUUGGGCAACGCGGUCCGCCGCGUGCCUCAAAUCGUCCGGCUGGGUCUUCUGUCCCCUAAGCGUUGUGGAAACUAUUCGCUAAAGGGUGUUCGGGAGGCUACGCCGUAAAGCAACCCCAUUUCUAAGGUUGACCUCGGAUCAGGUAGGGAUACCCGCUGAACUUAA